ensembl:lncRNA
AACACGUCAGUCUGCUCUCCCAAAAGGCACUCCCUGUUAUUUUUAUGCAGGAACGUCAUUAUCUUUGGUAUUGUUUUGUAAAUAGUCCCGGAUUUCAUAAUGAACAUAAACUCCUCUUUCGUCACGAGACAGUCAGAGAGAGCUGCUGAAAAACAGCACACAGAGCUGAUAUGACACUGGCCAGUGUUUAAACUAGUCAGGUUUAAAACACAGUUAUUCUGUUCUUCCUGGAAAAAGCUUAAUCAUUUGGAAAUUUAUAAUAGUUUUAUUUAGCUUUGAAUGAGCAGAAGUGGAUAAAAUGCCGGCUGGGACAUCUGCGUCUCUCUGCCAGAUUUUACUGUCUGUCUGCCUCCUGUUUGCCUCUACAGAUGGGAAAAUUAUCAGAGCUGAGCCUGGACAGGACGUCACUCUGCCAUGUCAAACUCCAAACAUCAGCGUGCCCAUCAGAUCUGUGGAGUGGUUCAGACUUGACCUGCAGGAAGGACAUGUCCUUACAUACCGGGGUGAGCAGUUUAUUUCAUUGAACCAGCUUCCAUCGUUUGUGAACCGGGUGGAUCUGAAGGACAGACGGACGAAGGACGGAGACGUGUCUUUGAUUCUGAAGGAUGUGACGAGUGACGACACUGGAACAUUUCAGUGUUACGUCGUCCAGAGAGGAACAAAUGGCAGAAAAAGCAUUUUUGAAUAUAUCAGCACCGUCUACCUGAGAGUUGUUCCUCCAGGUCAGACAGGAGGACACAGGAAACGUGAAGGGAACGAGGAUGAGAAGAAGAUUUGAUUCAGCCAUCAGAUGACUCGACAGGUGAGCCUUAAGUCACCUACCCACUAAACAUUGGACAUCGGAUAGACGUCCAUAUUAUGUCUAUAUUGGGUCCAUUGGCACAUGACCAAUUCUGGACAUCUAUAUAUCCAAACUAGGUCCACAACUUGAACAUUAAAACACUAGAUUUCAGUAGACAUCGAAAAAAAAGACCUCACCUGGUGUUAAAUGGCAGAUAAAAGUCACUCCGAGGUCAAUUUGCUCAGUGGGUCGCUAGCAGCAGUGAGUUGUAGAUGUCUAACAGAUCUUGAAUUUAUUUAGUGUUUCUUCAGAAACAUUAUUAAAGAGAUUAAAAAAUAAAUAAAUGAAAUUAAGUGUUUUCUUUUCCAAGAUUGUUUCGCUGUUAAUAAGCAGUAAUUUCAAUCAAAGAUGGAUGUAAUCAAGUCUUCAUAGAGCAGCCAGUCCCAAAUGACUGCUACAAUCCAUUUUCACCAAAAGUUAUUUUUUAUUUCCAGAAUUAUUUCUAUCAUUAUGUUUUCAUUUAUCAAUUUGAUAAUUUACUUUUUUGGGAAGCAGUGUGUGAAACCUAAAAAUGUAUGAUCACAUACAUCAUGUUGAAACAGGAUUUCUACAUGAUCUAGUUCUCAUUUGUUUUGUUUCUACGCUGUACAUACAGCCUGGUAUAUAUUUAUUUUAGGAGUGUUGGGAUUAAAUAAUUUGCAGUGCCUCAAUAAUGCUAUGCUUUUAUUAAUAAGUGUUAUAAAGUUAUAUAGAGUAGUAUUAAGUGGACACAGCCCUGAAAAAUAAAGGUAUGACACCAUGUGUCCUUGGGGAGUAGAAAGCUGCAGACUCUCGCCCAUGCAUGCCUGGGAAAAUGUAGAUAAGAGUGGAAAGUUACUGAGACACUGUUGUUUAGACUAGAAUGAGAGAGCUUCUGUAAUAAAACUGUUAGUGUCAUGCAGGAUGCAUUUCCCUUCUAGAAGUAAUGUGAAAGAGAAAUAAAGAGUUAAAUGGUCUCAGUGUAGCACUGAGCAGUGUUUUGUCUUCCAUCGGAUGCCUCUGAGGAAUCAAAAGAACUCGGUUAAGUGUUGAUAUUUAUAUUUACAGGAGAUGGUGGAACAUGUUUGGUUGUCACUGUCAGACGUUGUGUAUUGUUGCAUGUGUUCACAGAUAAAGAGAGUUUACAAAGUGAAUAAUAAGCAGGUUAAUCAGUGUUAGUGCGACUGCUCAGAUAUAUUAUUGAAGCUGCAGAGCAGGAGGAUUUAGUUGUAAGUUACACUGUAUGUAAAAGGGACCAACAUACAGUCAUUAUUUAGUAAAUUUGUACCUAAACAAACAAGAUAACCAGAUGGGUUAAAAUAUCUGAACCUGAGUUAACGUUGUGUUUUUAUGUGACAACAAGAUGACGUGUACAUGGACAGAAAAAGAUGGUGAAAUUCUGUUUAAUAAACAAACGAGGAAGAGCUUGCAGACUGAACAC